GCAGCCCCGCAUCCAUGCUUCGGGUCGCUUGUCGGGCUGGGCGCAGCCCCCUACCUCUGCAGACCUCCUCCCCUCCCCCCUCCGGCCAAGAGCCCCAGCUGGCACUCAGCAGGUCCCUUUCCAAUUUGCUGCACUUUCGGGAGUUCGUUAUUCCCACGGGAAGGAGGAAGAACUCGUUGCCAUGGCGAUGUGAGCCUCCCAACCCUGAGACCUGCCCCGGAGGCCCGAUCCUUCCCCGCGCAGCCCCGCCCGGCCUCCCUGGCUCGGGGCGGCCACGGUGGGCCCGCCCUGCCCUGUUGGAGAAGGUUUUCAGGCUCCAGAUUCUUUGGGCUUGAGGGAAGGAGGGGCCGUUAAUUAGGAACGCAAGGUAAGAGAGAAGGGGAAGUGAAGGAAGAAACAUGGAUGAGAAGGUUUUCUUUACAAGCCCCCUGGCCACUCGGCCCUUUCCUCCCACCCACCGGGACUCCUCAAAUGCUGUCUCCCUGGUGGUGGAGCAUUUGGCUGGGGAUGUCGGACACUCUUACUUUCCUCUCAACGUCUUCCAGGAACCCCCGGGCAUUUUUUUUUUUUUUUAAGUUUCUGGAACGUAGCACACUGGAAUGAAGCUUUAACCUCUCCUGCCCCUCCAGCCGGGGACUGAAAAGUAGGGGGAGCGGGAGCGAGCGGGUCGGAGCGACCAGCCGAGCCCUGCGACCGGGGGUGGAAGGGAGGCGACGCUUUCUGCGCCCGGCGCUGCACCGCCCUGCCCGGGCCCGGGGCCACGGCGCGGACAGCGGUCGGGGUCAGGGUGGCUGCCCAGGGAAAAGCUCCAAGCAUAUCACUGACUGGCCUGCUGGAAACCCUUUCAUCUCUGCUCCAUCCGCAGCAGCUCUUUGAUUAACUGCCACUGGAGCCUCCAACCAUCGCCACGCUGUAAAUCCCUGGGUGCCCGCCGGCUCAGAUCUGGGGCACGUGUACACCCAGGUGCUCCGCCUUUCUUCAGCCUUCUUCCCUCUUCCUGCUGCCUCCCUAUCCUUGAAGCCUUAGGACUUGUGGUGGCAAUGAACCUUAGGUUCUUCCAGGAGUCUUUUUCCUUCCAGCCCCUUCGUGCACCCACCUACCCCAACACGUGCCUUUUUCCUUCAGCUACGCCGUUCCUCCCCUCAGUGUCCACGCACACGCGCGCCCGCGCCCGCGCAGGCCUCUUCCCUUCCCUUCCAUCAGGCCCGUGAGAAGUCCGCUCCCCCAAUGGCGAGAGCACAGGCGGUGGACAGGUGCCCACGCAGCCCAAGAGCAGCAGGCCCACGUGGAAACAGUGCUUUUGACAAGCCGAGGCAUCGUAUUUCAUGAGUGAGCCAAAUGUAGAAAGGAUUAGCUGUUUCACCCAAUAAGCCCACAUCUGUAGUUACAUUCUGAUGGGGAUAAAAUUACUCUGGUUAUUAAUCCUUCUGCUUUAGGGUAUAAGCUGAUCACCAGCUGGGCUCAGGGAAAAAAAUUCUAUCCCGGCUCCUGCCAGGCUCCUCCCCAUCCUCACCUGCCCUGCCUUCUGUGCUGCGUUGUUGCGCUUUUAGGUCUGCAGACCAAGCUGAAGGCCACCAGUGGAGGCCCCUCUGAGACAGAGGAGCUCCAGUCUGUUCUGCAGAGGACAUCCCUCCAAUCACGUGACUGUGUAUUGGGACUCUACUUUCGGCAAAACCUCGCUGGUCUUCACUGUGGCGGAAGCAAAGAUGAUUCCUAAACGGCCGUGGCUUUUUCCUGCGGAGGAAAGCUGAAGUGGGCGGUCCGAACCCGCCGGUGGUUUCUGGGACUUUCUGCCCUGAGGCGCCCUGGGUGUAUCCAGUGGCCUAGGGGGCAUCCAUUUUGGGCCCGGCAGGAUUUUUCUAAGCCAACAAGGAAGGGGUUUCUGUAGCCUUCGCCUCUGUGGCUUCUCCCCUAUGGGAAACCAGCAGGACAGGUAGCUUUGUUUCCAUCCAGAUCCUUUCUUUUUAGACCCCAACUCAGCGGGCACUGGCGACUUCUGGGAGUCUCCCUGUCCCUGGGUGACAGAGGCGCCGUCGAUAAUUACAUGGAACUUUCCUGAGCAAACCAGGGUGUGUUCGCCUUACCUGAGGGGUCCUUGACGUUUGCAAGGGCCAUGCUAGGAGACGCCACUGAAACACGGCAAAGCUGUACCAGAAUCUAAAUAUACGAAGGAUCUACAGUUCUAGGCUUUUCCAAACUUCGUCUCACCUCAUAGAAAUGCAACUGGCCUGUGCCGGCCCUCCUGGGGACCCCACAAAGUGAGGACUAACUUAUCUAAUGAAAUCAUAGAAGCUAAGGUGUUAACGGGUUACCGGGACACCACGUUGUUGUUGUCACCUUCACCCACGUGGUGCUUGGGACAGUGAAGACAUGGCAUCGUAAUGCCUUGAGUCACAGGUAUCUGUGAAAUGAGUGAAUGAGUGAAAAAUUAAAGAGGACCCGUGCUAAGAAGAGGCAUCCCAAGAUUGGCAUUGGGAAGGCAGCUGGAGCAGACAGUGGCAAAGGCCUCCUCGGAGCCUCGGAGCUCUCCUUCCCCGGCACAGGUCAGAGGGGAUAUUCAGUCCUCCAGUUGUCUCCCAAGAGAGAGCCUCUUUCUGUCUUUUCCCUGGAGCUCUCUGAGAAACGUCGCACCACCUCUGCAGCCGGGGGUCUCUGCCUCUCCAAGCUUCAGCGCCAUUCUUCCCAAUGGCCACCGCAGCUCCCUCAAACUGCGGUCUCAGUGCAUCCAUCUGCCUGCUCCUUCGAAGCCAACAGCUCCUGUCAGGGCCAGGGUAGGACUGUGGUGAGAGCCAGCCCAGGCGGAGAGCCCACAGAAGGCCCUGGUGGGGAGGGGGGAGAGGCGUGUGCAGAAACACCGCUCAAGGUGAUGGGGAUCUGCAGGAGGCGGAGAGGGGCCCCAGGGAUUCACUCGGCAAGAGUAAUUACAUUGAACACAACAGAUCUCGGGGCCAGCAUCACUGCCCAGAGCAUGGCCCUGAACGAAUGUGGAUUGCUUCAAUUAUCUGGGCAUCUUGAUGAAUGGGCACGGCACACGCUCUGGGGAAGAUGGGAGGAAACGAGCCACAGAUUAAUCACUCGUGGCAUCACUGAACGGAGGGUGUUUAGAGCCCGCGAGAGCCCCGGGGACAACAGGUUCACAAAAGCAGAGAGGGAAAUGGAAAGCAAUCAGGGCGCAAUUAGAAAAAAAAGGGGAGGAAGCCAGUCUAACAGCGAGGCUCAUCUUUUUUAGACGAAUUUGCAUAAAGGUAGUGACAAUGGAGGUAGCCCUGGUAGGGACUAGGGACAGAUAGUGGGGUUCUGUUAUGGGAACUGCCUGCCUCCAGUGGGGCCAAGGGCUGGGCCCCAAAGGUAACCCCAAACCAGAGAAGGAGGGUCUCAGAAACAAAGGUAGGGGUGUAGGGAGGAGCAAGACAAGGAGGCAAGAACUAAUGAGAGCAACACUGUGGAGGCUUCCAGAGGAAGAGGAGGUAAUGUGCCGUUCUAGGCUUUCCUAGGACUCCAACAGUGCGCCCCAUUAGUGGCGUCUCAGGACCUCUCUGCCCCCAAAGUACUACCGGGUAGGUGAGCCAAAAUAAUGAGAAUUAUUUUUCCUGGAGAAGUGUUUGGUUGUGUAGGUCCAGCAUGUAACAUACGGUCUAUCAUAAAUGUUUCCCGAACGAGUGAACACAAAUAGCUAGCAUUAGUUACACUUCUCCUGUGUCAGGCAAUAUGCUAAGUGCUUUACACAAAUAAA